AACAAAAUUUGAUUUUGAAAUUCACUUUCAACACACAUAAUGACGAAAGUUUCACCAUUCUUUCCUUGCUUGAUCAUUUUAUUUCUCGUAGCAUCUGGAACGAAAGGUUUCGAGGCAGGAUGUAAGCACGGCACGUGCCGUGACGUUGAGGAGUGUUCUCCGCCACCGCCUGAAUUUUGUGGAGGAAGAGUAAAUCCCAAAGUAAAAUGCAUUUUACAUUGUUGUAAGUGGGAUUGCUACGAUUAAAAAAAAUUCCACGUCUUUGUUGUGUAAUAAUAACAUCUUCCAUCUCCUUAGUUGAGAUUUCAUGCAUAUUCUAUGUUGUUUCGAAA